rnacentral:rRNA from 1 species
CUCCUACGGGGGGCAGCAGUGGGGAAUAUUGCACAAUGGGGGAAACCCUGAUGCAGCGACGCCGCGUGAGUGAAGAAGUAUUUCGGUAUGUAAGGCCCUAUCAGCAGGGAAGAGAAUGACGGUACCUGACUAAGAAGCCCCGGCUCACUACGUGCCAGCAGCCGCGGUAAUACGUAGGGGGCGAGCGUUAUCCGGAUUUACUGGGUGUAAAGGGAGCGUAGACGGUUCUGCAAGUCUGAAGUGAAAGCCCGUGUCUUAACUGCGGAACGGCUUUGGAAACUGUGGAACUGG